rnacentral:misc_RNA from 1 species
AACAAAAUUAUUUACGAAGAAAAUCUGAAGUGACUGAAACUGAGAUAACCGAAUUAAUCGGAACGAGAUUGUAAAUAUAGCUUAAUGAAAAUUUCGAAAUGAAAGCCAGCGAAUGGUAGAAUUAUUAGAACUCCGAGAACUGAAUCAUAUCGAAUCGAAUCGAACUUAAGAGCUGCUGGUGGGAAAACAGCCUGAACUUGUGGAACAGCCGAUGAAGAAACUGUACCACCUUCUGGCCCAACUGCAUGAACCUCUUGCCUGAUGCGAGACACUACUGCGAAGUAAUGUGGGAAGUCUGCAAUACAUAUUUCGUACUUACCCUAAGAAUUUGGCACCCACGGGUCCUAGUUCAAGGAUACGGCUGGCAAGAGCCUCCCCUUCCAUCAAAGGCGGUGGGUUCGUCAAUUUGUCCCUUCUUAAAUACCUGCACGUAACGCGCAUAGGCAUUGCGGCUUUUCUAGGAGGAACGAUUACACGUACACCACUAUGUCUGCAGCCACGCAUCGCACCACCUCGUGCAUCCACCAGAAAGGAAACCAGGAAGCUAUCAUUUAUACAAUAAACAUAGUUAUAAAGAAAAUUCACGCGUCGAUCGUAGAAACAGAAAGGUACAUAUCGCCUUAGCUUAUAGCAUUACGAUAUGUCGAUACAGAAAAAGACUUGAAAAUAAGAGCAAUCAUUGCAUGGGGGCUAAUCAUUAUUUGGACACGUACUCAUAAAUCAUUAUUCAACACUAUUACAUACGAAUAUUGUGCGAACAUUUGGCCGUUCGAUAAAUAAUACGAUCAUGCUAACUGCUUCGCUUAAGUCAAACCAAUUAUAAUUAAAGAAAAAAAAAAUAUUUUUACUAAUGUGUAUACAUAAUAUUUAUAC